UACGAAGGGGGCUAGCGUUGCUCGGAAUUACUGGGCGUAAAGCGCACGUAGGCGGUCUUUUAAGUCGGUGGUGAAAUCCUGGAGCUCAACUCCAGAACUGCCUUCGAUACUGGAAGACUUGAGUCCGGGAGAGGUGAGUGGAACUGCGAGUGUAGAGGUGAGAUUCGUAGAUAUUCGCAGGAACACCAGUGGCGAAGGCGGCUUACUGGUCCAUUACUGACGCUGAGGUGCGAAAGCGUGGGGAGCAAACAGG
rnacentral:rRNA from 1 species